GGCAUUUGGUAGUGAGUGGUGCGUGGAUGCUGGGAAUGUUUGAUUAUGAUAGGUUUGUAGUUGAAAUAGUGUGAUACUGUGUAAAUAUUUGCUGGUGCCUGGUGAAAUUCCUUUGAGAAUUGUCCUUAUUUUUAUAAGCUUUCCUCUUGGGUUAUUUUUCCAUGGCAAGUGUUGGAGCUAAUCUGCGAAAGUUUUCUAGAAUUGCGUUGCAUUUAUUAUUGACAAUGCUACAAAAGGAGUUGAGUUUAACAUUUCAAAUAUUUUAAGCAGUCAAUAAAGGUUUUGUAUAUGUG